CACAAAAAUAGAUCAAAGAUUAGAUCAUAUGAAGAAACUGAAUCGCAGGUGCACAACACUCGAGUUGUUGUUAAGAAUAUCACUCCUAGCUCAAUUCGCUCGAUGGAUUUGUAUUUCUGAGGUCUGCGAUACACGUGAGAAAAGCGUCCCGCAAUUUAUGAUUUACCGGCCGAUCAAUUAUUCAUUGUUGCGACGCGCGAGUAACAACGGAUUUAUAAGUUUUUCGCAGUCGUAGUACGCAGCCAUCAUCUGGCUUUUGAAGCGUACAACUCCGCCGCUAUUGGUUUUACCUUCUGCCCUGAACCAGAUUGUUAACGACCGUCCUGGCCUUAUACGAGCGUCGAGUCGUGAUUCGUGCUCUACGGCACGGCACCGCGAUCACAUCAACGUCAGCUACAACAAUUGUCCAAGAGUUGUACGUACACGGGGUGCGGAACGCUAAAUGUCCAAGUCAACACCUUACACCCGACCCUUUCUGAGAACCAACGCGUUCAACGGCGUUACGACAUUCGUCACGGGGCCCAGAUGGUUCUAAUUGUAAAUCGCCUCCGAAGAAAGUCACGAUUGCACCGCGUUACUACGGAGUCUGAGCAACUUCGCACACCCACAUAUUCGCACUCGCGAGGACCAAGGAUAUUCAGAUCCUUUCCGAUUCGCUCAGCCUCGAGGUAUCCGACUGCAAUGUCAGCUCUGUUUUUUCUGCAUUCCAAAUUUUGAUGGCUGUUCGGCCUGCAGAAUUUUCCGGCAGAACCAGUGACACUUUUCAACGGGGGGAGAGUCGUUCAUUGGUACCUGUAGGGAAAGAAGUGAAACGAAAUGAAAUAAGAUAGAAUGAAAUGAAA